GGUCGAUGUCAGCCUGAAAGUCAGGUCCCCCACGCCCCUGCCCCUCUGUAAUAGGAUGGUCAGCACAACAGGGUGCCUGGAGGUUUGCAGGUGGGAUCCAGAAAUCAAAGUGGACGACAGAAGGCAACUGUGCAAAUAGAGAAGCAAGAAUCGGGAAGGAUAAUUCCUUAAAGAAACACCAGGAAUACAG